GGAAAAUUGGAGGAGAGUUUGAUAAGAGUGAAUGCUUCAUUGUCUAAUAUUAUGAAGAGACUUCAAAUAAGCUUGAGAGUUUUACGGAGACAUUUAUGAUGUCUCUUCAAGAUGAUGACCAAAAUGUUUGGAUUUAUCUUGGGGGUUUAUAACAGGCAGACCCGAUUUAUCUACAGAUUAUUGGCAGGCAUAACACAAAACAUUUGAGGUAUAUGGUAAUGAUGAAUGGUCUUACGGGUAUUGUGA